rnacentral:rRNA from 1 species
CACGUAGGGUGCAAGCGUUGUCCGGAAUUAUUGGGCGUAAAGGGCUCGUAGGCGGUCCGUCACGUCGGGAGUGAAAACUCGGGGCUCAACCCCGAGCCUGCUUUCGAUACGGGCGGACUAGAGGUAGGUUGGGGAGAACGGAAUUCCUGGUGUAGCGGUGGAAUGCGCAGAUAUCAGGAGGAACACCGGUGGCGAAGGCGGUUCUCUGGGCCUUACCUGACGCUGAGGAGCGAAAGCGUGGGGAGCGAACAGG